ACGAACGCUGGCGGCGUGCUUAACACAUGCCAGUCGAACGGAAAGGCCCUGCUUGCCGGGUACUCGAGUGGCGAACGGGUGAGUAACACGUGGGUGAUCUGCCCUGCACUUCGGGAUAAGCCUGGGAAACUGGGUCUAAUACCGGAUAGGAGCCAUUUUUAGUGUGAUGGUUGGAAAGUUUUUUCGGUGUAGGAUGAGCUCGCGGCCUAUCAGCUUGUUGGUGGGGUAAUGGCCUACCAAGGCGGCGACGGGUAGCCGGCCUGAGAGGGUGGACGGCCACAUUGGGACUGAGAUACGGCCCAGACUCCUACGGGAGGCAGCAGUGGGGAAUAUUGCACAAUGGGCGCAAGCCUGAUGCAGCGACGCCGCGUGGGGGAGGACGGCCUUCGGGUUGUAAACUCCUUUCGCUAGGGACGAAGCUUUUUGUGACGGUACCUAGAUAAGAAGCACCGGCUAACUACGUG
rnacentral:rRNA from 1 species